rnacentral:lncRNA from 1 species
CAAGAUAAAAGUAAAUUUUGAUAUCAUGCUUUUUCAGAUUCAACUUAAUUGGGAUCAGGUACUGGAUGUAGUCAGUGAAGAAUCCUGUAGUUUAAACUUUAAAGAAUCAUAUGCAAAGGAGCUUUGUUUUGAUAAAGAAGAUGUGAUGUCAUCUGGUUUAUAGUUUUGUUUUCUGAGGUUUCACUAGAGCAUAGAAGCUAACAUAAGUUAUUGGAUAGAAGCUAAAGAAUCAGGCACUUGAGAAAGAAGGAAGUUGGAACAAAGGUUUGUUUUUGGAAGAUAAGCCUUAUAGUGAUUGUGUAUUGUUUAAUCUUCAUUGAUCAGAUGCACCUGCUGUGCCUGUAUGUAAUAUGCAUCAAAAUUCAUAACCUCUUUCUUUUGGUUCCUUACUUUGUUGGGAGUCAAGGAUGCAGAGAUGAGGAGGUUUGGAUUUGGUUUAAAAUACUUUCUUUAGACUAGAACUGAAUUAAUGAGUACUUGGCUUUGAUCAGAUUGCUAUAAACUCAUGGUAAAAAUAUAUGUGAUUUUGACAAAGAAAAUUAAAGCAAUUUUGUAUAAAUGUUGAUUUCUAGUUAGAUCCAUAACUCUGUAUGAUUAUGAGGCAAGAUUUUGAGUCUUUUAUGGCCAAUUAUAAUGAAGAUGGGAUAUAUUAAGGGGAACACACACAACUAACUCAAUUAGACAUGCUAAGUUAAAUCAAAUUACAAAUGCAGAUAUAAAGACUAACUGGAAAAGAAGAAGAUGAAGCAGAUAUAUUAUUAUUAAUGUUUGAAUAUCUGCAUGAUGCUUUAUUCUAUACAAACAUAUAAAAGGAAAGUGACCUGAAUUGAGGGAUAUACAUUAAUGGAUGCAGGUCAAAGGACUUGAUUUAGGGUUCUGCUGAGAAAUCAAAUUUACGAGAUAUGAACAGACCCAAGGAAAAGGCUAUGACAGCCGUUAUAACAAUUCCUUUGUUUUUUAUCAGAACCACCCUUGCACUUCUG